GUGCGCCCGGGAUGCAGGCCGCGUGCGGCGGGGCUCGGAGAGGACUGCGCCGCCGGGAGGAUCGGACCCGGCGCCGGGUCGGCGCUCCGGGUUUGGCCCAAGGCGACCUAAGUUCGGACGGGCUGUCAACCCUAAAAACUAGCGUCCUGUCCAGAGGACCAGCAAGGAGGACCAGCGAGAGGUGAGGGAAGCAGUGUCUUCCUGUCACAGAGUUCGGGGGGCAGCCUCACCCCAGCUGCCAGCGGGGCCCCCUUCUCCCCAGAGGCUCCCUGAGAGUUUCUAUGUGGUUGAUUCCGUGUGGCUCUAUCCCAAGUGGAAUGUUUUCCCCACUGGACUGACAGCCUUUGUUGUUAGGAAUGCUAAUUUGUGUUUCAUGUUUGCUGCCACGUGAAAGAAUUCAAAUCACUA